CAAUGAGCGGAGACGUUAAAGAUUUAUCGCCUCUAGAGGAGCUCGCGUCUGAUUAGCUAGUUGGUGGGGUAAAAGCCUACCAAGGCGACGAUCAGUAGCUGGUCUGAGAGGACAACCAGCCACACUGGGACUGAGACACGGCCCAGACUCCUACGGGAGGCAGCAGUGGGGAAUUUUCCGCAAUGGGCGAAAGCCUGACGGAGCAAUACCGCGUGAGGGAGGAAGGCUCUUGGGUCGUAAACCUCUUUUCUCAGGGAAGAAGAAAGUGACGGUACCUGAGGAAUCAGCCUCGGCUAACUCCGUGCCAGCAGCCGCGGUAAUACGGAGGAGGCAAGCGUUAUCCGGAAUUAUUGGGCGUAAAGCGUCCGUAGGUGGCUCUUCAAGUCUGCUGUCAAAGAGUGGGGCUUAACUCCAGAAAGGCAGUGGAAACUGAAAGGCUAGAGAGCCGUAGGGGUAGAGGGAAUUCCCGGUGUAGCGGUGAAAUGCGUAGAGAUCGGGAAGAACAUCGGUGGCGAAAGCGCUCUACUGGACGGUAUCUGACACUGAGGGACGAAAGCUAG
rnacentral:rRNA from 1 species